rnacentral:lncRNA from 1 species
AGGUGCCUCAUCCAUAAUGGAAUCCAGGAAAUACUCGGUGAAUGAAGGAAGGGAGGGUGUCCAGGCCCUAACUGAUGUGGUCAUUUGUAAGACAGUGAUGUUCCUGUUUCUUUCAGUCCGGGGAUCCCGAGCUGUCCUGCAGCUAUACCCUGAGAACUCAGAGCAGUUGGAGCUGAUCACAACCCAGGCCACAAAGCGCGGGCUUCUCCGAGUGGCAUGGUGGUGGACUACCCUAACAGUGCCAAAGCAAAGAAGUGAGCGCUGGGGGCUGGUGUGCUGCCUGGGCUGCAGGAGGGAGGGUAGUGGCAUAGCCCUUUCAGGCCACUCAGUGGUACAGAGGAGUGUGGGGUGUGGGUCACCAGGGUCCAG